AGAGUUUGAUCCUGGCUCAGAGUGAACGCUGGCGGCGUGCUUAACACAUGCAAGUCGAGCGAGCUUUGGCAGAAUAUCGCCAAGGCUAGCGGCAAACGGGUGAGUAACACGUAGGAAAUCUACCCUAGAGUGGAGAAAAUCCUCGAGAAAUCAAGGUUAAUACUCCAUGUGACCACAUCUUGGCAUCAAGAAGAGGUUAAAGGAUCGCAAGAUUCGCUUUAGGAUGAUCCUGCGGCCUAUCAGCUAGUUGGCGGGAUAACAGCCCACCAAGGCUAUGACGGGUAGCCGGCCUUAAAGGGUGAACGGCCACACUGGCACUGAGACACGGGCCAGACUCCUACGGGAGGCAGCAGUGGGGAAUUUUGGACAAUGGGCGAAAGCCUGAUCCAGCAACGCCGCGUGGAGGAUGAAGGUCUUAGGAUUGUAAACUCCUUUUAGAGGGGAAGAAGUUCUGACGGUACUCUCAGAAAAAGCCACGGCUAACUACGUGCCAGCAGCCGCGGUAAUACGUAGGUGGCAAGCGUUACUCGGAAUUACUAGGCGUAAAGCGCAUGUAGGCGGUUAUUUAAGUCUAUGGUGAAAUUUCCCAGCUCAACUGGGAAGGGUCCAUGGAUACUAUUUAACUUGAGUGUGGGAGGGGGAAACGGAAUUCCAGGUGUAGCGGUGAAAUGCGUAGAUAUCUGGAGGAACACCAAUGGCGAAAGCAGUUUCCUGGCCCAAUACUGACGCUGAAGUGCGAAAGCUAGGGGAGCAAACAGGAUUAGAUACCCUGGUAGUCCUAGCCGUAAACGAUGCUCACUAGAUGUGGGAGGUAUCGACCCCUUCCGCGUCGACGCUAACGCAUUAAGUGAGCCGCCUGGGGAGUACGGCCGCAAGGCUGAAACUCAAAGGAAUUGACGGGGGCCCGCACAAGCGGUGGAGCAUGUGGUUUAAUUCGACGCAACGCGAAGAACCUUACCUGGGCUUGAAGUGCUAGUUGUAAAAUCCCGAAAGGGAAAUGACCCGCAAGGGAGCUAGUAGAGGUGCUGCAUGGCUGUCGUCAGCUCGUGUCGUGAGAUGUUGGGUUAAGUCCCGCAACGAGCGCAACCCUUAUUUCAUGUUACUCCGUGGGACACUACGGAGGUCUCUUGAGAGACUGCCCUCGAUAAGAGGGAGGAAGGUGGGGAUGACGUCAAGUCAUCAUGGCCUUUAUGUCCAGGGCUACACACGUGCUACAAUGGCCGGUACAGCGGGAAGCAAGACCGUAAGGUGGAGCAAAUCCCUGAAAGCCGGCCCCAGUUCGGAUUGUGAGCUGAAAUUCGCCCACAUGAAGGUGGAAUCGCUAGUAAUCGCAGAUCAGCAGGCUGCGGUGAAUACGUUCCCGGGCCUUGUACACACCGCCCGUCACACCACGAAAGUCAGUGGUAACAGAAGUCGCUUUGCCAACCCCGAGCAAUCGGGGAGGUAUGUGCCCAAGUUAUGAUUGGUGAUUGGGGUGAAGUCGUAACAAGGUA
rnacentral:rRNA from 1 species